AGAACGAACGCUGGCGGCAGGCUUAACACAUGCAAGUCGAACGCCCCGCAAGGGGAGUGGCAGACGGGUGAGUAACGCGUGGGAACCUACCCAAUUCUACGGAACAACUGAGGGAAACUUCAGCUAAUACCGUAUACGCCCUACGGGGGAAAGAUUUAUCGGAGUUGGAUGGGCCCGCGUUGGAUUAGCUAGUUGGUGAGGUAACGGCUCACCAAGGCGACGAUCCAUAGCUGGUCUGAGAGGAUGAUCAGCCACACUGGGACUGAGACACGGCCCAGACUCCUACGGGAGGCAGCAGUGGGGAAUAUUGGACAAUGGGCGCAAGCCUGAUCCAGCCAUGCCGCGUGAGUGAUGAAGGCCUUAGGGUGUAAAGCUCUUUCAGUGGGGAAGAUAAUGACGGUACCCACAGAAGAAGCCCGGCUAACUUCGUGCCAGCAGCCGC
rnacentral:rRNA from 1 species